AGCGAACGCUGGCGGCAGGCUUAACACAUGCAAGUCGAGCGGGCGUAGCAAUACGUCAGCGGCAGACGGGUGAGUAACGCGUGGGAACAUACCUCUUGGUUCGGAACAACACAGGGAAACUUGUGCUAAUACCGGAUAAGCCCUUACGGGGAAGAUUUAUCGCCGAGAGAUUGGCCCGCGUCUGAUUAGCUAGUUGGUGAGGUAACGGCUCACCAAGGCGACGAUCAGUAGCUGGUCUGAGAGGAUGAUCAGCCACAUUGGGACUGAGACACGGCCCAAACUCCUACGGGAGGCA
rnacentral:rRNA from 1 species